rnacentral:SRP_RNA from 1 species
CCCCUGUAGUCUCAGCUAGUGGGGAGGCGGGAGGAUCACUUGAGCCCAGGAGUUCUGGGCUGUAGUGUGCAGUGCUGAUAGCAGGUGUCUGCACUAACUUCGGUAUCAAUAUGGUGACCUCCCUGGAGCAGAGGACCACCAGAGUACCUAAAGAGAGGUGAACUAGCCCAGUCUAGAAACUGAGCAGGUCAAAACUUUCAUCUUAUCAGUAGUGGGGAUCCCUGUGAAUAGCCACUGUACUCCAGCUUGGGCAAAAUAGCAAGACCCUGUCUCU